GCCUGGGUGGCUCAGUCGGUUAAGCGUCUGACUUCAGCUCAGGUCACGAUCCCACAGUUCGUGGGUUCAAGCCCACAUCAGGCU
rnacentral:tRNA from 1 species